GUGAAAUACUAUUUGUUCCCUUGAGAAAUUACUUCAGAUCUUUGCAUUGCUAAGACACCACAUAUAUGCAGGGUUUUACCUAUUUAACAUAAUAAUUCCAUGGAAACGAGAACAAAGCUGUAGGAGAUUUCAUUAAAGCUUGGCUUCAUUCCUAGCUUCAUGGACUAGUAAAUGACCCGAAAGAUCACCUCCUCCAGCCCCUGCUUCUAGUGCGUGUGAUGUUUAAAUAAUUCAAAAAGAAAAAAAGAAAAGAGAAGACAAGAAAAAAGAAUGUUUCCACCAUUCCCAACACUGCCAUUUACCUUGGAAUGAAUUAAACACCCGUUACAUAGACUUCCUUGACGUCUUCUCUGCUGUCUCAGGACAUGCCGAUGCAGGGCUGAUGAUAUCUCAGUGGAGAAGAAACAUGCGGCUGCUUGGUUUUCACCUUAGAAGGGGGCAGACAGAUGCCACCAGCAUGCUGG
rnacentral:lncRNA from 1 species